rnacentral:tRNA from 1 species
GUUUAAGUAGUUUAAUUAAAAUAUUGAUUUGUGGAGUCAAAGAUGUUAAUUUUUUACCUUGAACA